UACGAAGGGGUCUAGCGUUGCUCGGAAUCACUGGGCGUAAAGCGCACGUAGGCGGAUCUUUAAGUCAGGGGUGAAAUCCCAAGGCUCAACCUUGGAACUGCCUUUGAUACUGGGGAUCUCGAGUCCGGAAGAGGUUGGUGGAACUCCGAGUGUAGAGGUGAAAUUCGUAGAUAUUCGGAAGAACACCAGUGGCGAAGGCGGCCAACUGGUCCGGCACUGACGCUGAGGUGCGAAAGCGUGGGGAGCAAACAGG
rnacentral:rRNA from 1 species